rnacentral:lncRNA from 1 species
AUGUGGGGGUCCCACAGGCGCUUGGGUGGCCCCAUCGUGGAUUUGGGGGUCCCGGAGGUGCUCGUGCCACCGUUGGGUGCCCCCAGUGAGACGUGGGGCUCCCAGAACCGCUCAUGCCAGCGCUGGGUGACCCCAAAGUGCGUUUGGGGGUCCAGAGGUGCUCACGCUGCGUUUGGGUGCCCUCAAGGUAAACCUGGGAGUCUCAGAGGUCCUCGUGCCGCUGUUGGGCGCCCUCAACAUAAACUCGGGGGGUCUUGGAAACGCUCACGCUGCCAUUUGGUGCCCCCAGCGUGGACUUGGGGGUCCCACAGGUGCUCACGCCGCUGUUGGGUGCCCCCUGAGCAGACUCAGGCGUCCCACAGGUUCUCGCGCUGCCGUUGGGUGCCCCCCGAGUAGGUUUAGGGGUCCCGUAGGAGCUCACGGCGGCGUUGGGAGUCCCCCAAGAGACGCGGGGGUCCCGUAGGUGCUCAGGCGGUCAUUGGGUGCCCCCUAAGUGACACAGGAGCCCCAUAGGUGCUCGUGUCGGCACUGGGGGCCCCCAGCCCCGAUCUGGGGGCCCCUAGGAGCUCCNNNNNNNNNNNNNNNNNNNNNNNNNNNNNNNGAGCUCACGCCGGGCUUGGGUGCCCCCUAAGUGACGCGGAGGUCCCAUAAAUGCUCAUGCUGGCACUGGGGGCCUCCUGAGAAGAUCUGGGGUUCCCAUAGGAGCUCACGCUGGUCUUGGGUGCCCCCUAAGCGACACGGAGGUCCCAUAAGAACUCACGCCGGUCUGGGGUGCCCCCAAGGAGGUUCGGGGGUCCCACAGGAGCUCCCGCUGGCGUUGGGAGCCCCCCAAGUGACACGGGGGUCCCAUACGUGCUCGUGUCGGCAUUGGGUGCCCCCGAAAAGAUGUGGAGGUCCCACAGGAGCUCACGGUGGCAUCGGGCCACCCCUAGGUCCCACAGGAGCUCACGCCGGUUCGGGGCACCCCCCCAAGUGACAUGGGGGUCCCACAAGAGCUCACGCCGGUCCUGGGCGCCCCCCAAGCGACGUGGGAGUCCCACAAGAGUUCACGCCAGUCCUGGGUGCCCCUUGAGAAGAUCUGGGGGUCCCAUAGGAGCUCAUGAUGGUCCUGGGUGUCCCCCACACAACACGGUGGACCCACAGGAGGUCACAUCGGUUUUAGGUGCCCCCCAAACGACAUAGGGGUCCCAUAGGAGCUCAGUCCAGCUUUAGGUGCCCCCCAAACAACAUGAGGGUCCCACAGGAGCUCAUGCCGGCUUUGGGUGCCCCCCAAGUGAUAUGUGGGUCCCAUAGGAGCUCCGUCCAGCUUUAGGUGCUCCUCAAGCGACACGGGGGUCCCGUAAGAGCUCCCGUUGGCAUUGGGCACCCCCUAAGCGACACGGGGGUCCCAUACGUG